rnacentral:misc_RNA from 1 species
CUUAAUUACCUUCCCUCAGCGCAUCCAAACAGAGCCUUAGUAUCUAUCAAAUUUGAGCAGAUAGCUUACUGGUUCAACACUGGCAUGCUCAUCUCCAUCUCCAAUCUCUGCAAUAUCUUGCCCUAACCCAACUCUUCCUAAAAGUGUCUCUUCACGGCUUCACCUUCCAUGUUCAUUCCUAAAGCCAUGGCCAAGGAGCUUUACUUUAACCAUGAUGGUUCAGCAACUAAGAAACUUCGGGCAGGAUGGAUAUGGUGGCAGAGCUAGUAGGAGUAACUUAAGUCCAAAAGGAAGGGAAUGUAGUGUUGGAAAAUAGGUAUGGACUCCAAAGAUUGGUUAACGAUGGAGAAAUGGUUCUCAAACAGAUUGAAUUGGAGGACUCUUUGGAGAAUGUGGGAGUGAAAUUGUUGAGGCAAGAUAGUGCAAAAACAAAUGACCUCGCUGGUGAUGGUUCCGCAACAUCUGUAGUUCUUGCUCAUGGUUUAAUCACUGAAGGUCAGGAGGUAAGUCACCAGUAGACUCUCUUAUAAAUCAAUAAUGCUUGCUCCAAUGGUUUAAAGACUAACACUUCUUGUGUCUUGUUAUGGUUGAAAGAAGAUGCAUAAAAAGUAAAUUUGUAGCCAGUAGAGAUGUUUGUCAUUUAUGUCAUGCAGCAGCUCCUGGCUUUUUUUUGAUAAUCUCUUUCAAUGGUAUCUCCACUUCAAAUAUCUCACUAAGCUUUUAUAUAAGAUUCUCUGAAUUUUUAUGUUAAAGAUGACGCAAUUUCUAGGAGAUUGCAGCUGGCAUGAAUCCAUCCAAAUUGCUUGUGGGAUUGAGAAAACCUUGAAGGCCCUUGUUUCUGAACUCGAAUUGAUGUCUAAAGAGAUGAAUAAGUUUCUUUUCUCCUUUCCUUAUGCUUAGAAGUUAAAAAAUUGAGAUCCAGGAAAUGUAAAUUAGUAUGUAAAAUGAGGAGCAAAGAUGCUUCUUCUAUGUCUGCAAGAAUACUAACAAAAGCUUUUAGGUUGAGGAUGAUGAGCUUGCAGAUGUUGCUGCAGUUAGUGCAGGGAAUGAUUAUACAGUGGGAAACAUGAUAUCUGAUGCUCUUCAUGAAGUGGAAAGGAGGGGCAUAGUCAUAAUUGUAAAAGGAAAGUAUAUUGAGAACAAUCUACAGAUUGUUAAAGAGAUGCAAUUUGAUCAUGGAUAUUUGUCCCUUACUUCGUCCCUGAUCAAUGCAAAAUGACAGUAGAGCUCCAAAACUGCAAGUUACUUUUGGUUCACAAAAAAAUCACAAAUCCAAAGGAGAUGUUUAAAGUAUUGGACAAUGCUGUAUAAGAGAAGUACCCCAUAGUGAGAGUUGCAGAGGGCAUUGAACAGGAAACGUUGGCUCUAGAUAUUGCGAACAAACUCAAGGGUGUGUUGAAGGCAGCUGACAGGCGGUAGUGAGCUAAGUACUCAAUAUCAAUAGAUAUCCUUAUUUUAUUGUAUCUUAUCUUACAUAAUACUACAUUCUAUAAUAGUUAUUGACUUGUUCAAUUAUUAAUUAUAGUUGUGAUCUUAUUAUGCAAAUAUUUAUGCAGCUUGGAGCUGAGAUCUUCAGAAGAGCUUAGAGUUAUCUUGCAAGAUUGAUAACCAAGAAUGCAUGCGAAAAUGCCAACAUUGUCGUAAACCAGCAAAGGAGUUGAUUCAGAAAUCUUGAGGAGCUGGCAAGAUUAGUUAGAGAGUUAGUUAGCUAAACAAGUGAUAACUGUUAGUUAGAGAGUCAGUUAGCUAAACAAGUGACAACCGUUGUGUUACCAAAAUAAAUAGUAUUCUUUGUACAAAACAGAUUCAUUCAAUGAAUAAUACGGAA